AGAAUCAACGCUGGCGGCGUGCCUAACACAUGCAAGUCGAACGAGAAAGUGGAGCAAUCCAUGAGUAAAGUGGCGCACGGGUGAGUAACACGUGACUAACCUACCCUCGAGUGGGGAAUAACUUCGGGAAACCGAGGCUAAUACCGCAUAAAACCUAAGGGUCAAAGGAGCAAUCCGUUUGAGGAGGGGGUCGCGGCAGAUUAGUUAGUUGGCGGGGUAAUGGCCCACCAAGACGAUGAUCUGUAUCCGGCCUGAGAGGGCGCACGGACACACUGGAACUGAAACACGGUCCAGACUCCUACGGGAGGCAGCAGUGGGGAAUUUGCGCAAUGGGGGAAACCCUGACGCAGCAACGCCGCGUGGAGGAUGAAAUCCCUUGGGAUGUAAACUCCUUUCGAUCGGGAAGAUAAUGACGGUACGGAAGAAGAAGCCCGGCUAACUUCGCGCCAGCAGCCGC
rnacentral:rRNA from 1 species